rnacentral:rRNA from 1 species
GGGUUGUGAGGUUAAGCGACUAAGCGUACACGGUGGAUGCCCUGGCAGUCAGAGGCGAUGAAGGACGUGCUAAUCUGCGAUAAGCGUCGGUAAGGUGAUAUGAACCGUUAUAACCGGCGAUUUCCGAAUGGGGAAACCCAGUGUGUUUCGACACACUAUCAUUAACUGAAUCCAUAGGUUAAUGAGGCGAACCGGGGGAACUGAAACAUCUAAGUACCCCGAGGAAAAGAAAUCAACCGAGAUUCCCCCAGUAGCGGCGAGCGAACGGGGAGCAGCCCAGAGCCUGAAUCAGUGUGUGUGUUAGUGGAAGCGUCUGGAAAGGCGCGCGAUACAGGGUGACAGCCCCGUACACAAAAAUGCACAUGCUGUGAGCUCGAUGAGUAGGGCGGGACACGUGGUAUCCUGUCUGAAUAUGGGGGGACCAUCCUCCAAGGCUAAAUACUCCUGACUGACCGAUAGUGAACCAGUACCGUGAGGGAAAGGCGAAAAGAACCCCGGCGAGGGGAGUGAAAAAGAACCUGAAACCGUGUACGUACAAGCAGUGGGAGCACGCUUAGGCGUGUGACUGCGUACCUUUUGUAUAAUGGGUCAGCGACUUAUAUUCUGUAGCAAGGUUAACCGAAUAGGGGAGCCGAAGGGAAACCGAGUCUUAACUGGGCGUUAAGUUGCAGGGUAUAGACCCGAAACCCGGUGAUCUAGCCAUGGGCAGGUUGAAGGUUGGGUAACACUAACUGGAGGACCGAACCGACUAAUGUUGAAAAAUUAGCGGAUGACUUGUGGCUGGGGGUGAAAGGCCAAUCAAACCGGGAGAUAGCUGGUUCUCCCCGAAAGCUAUUUAGGUAGCGCCUCGUGAAUUCAUCUCCGGGGGUAGAGCACUGUUUCGGCAAGGGGGUCAUCCCGACUUACCAACCCGAUGCAAACUGCGAAUACCGGAGAAUGUUAUCACGGGAGACACACGGCGGGUGCUAACGUCCGUCGUGAAGAGGGAAACAACCCAGACCGCCAGCUAAGGUCCCAAAGUCAUGGUUAAGUGGGAAACGAUGUGGGAAGGCCCAGACAGCCAGGAUGUUGGCUUAGAAGCAGCCAUCAUUUAAAGAAAGCGUAAUAGCUCACUGGUCGAGUCGGCCUGCGCGGAAGAUGUAACGGGGCUAAACCAUGCACCGAAGCUGCGGCAGCGACACUAUGUGUUGUUGGGUAGGGGAGCGUUCUGUAAGCCUGUGAAGGUGUACUGUGAGGUAUGCUGGAGGUAUCAGAAGUGCGAAUGCUGACAUAAGUAACGAUAAAGCGGGUGAAAAGCCCGCUCGCCGGAAGACCAAGGGUUCCUGUCCAACGUUAAUCGGGGCAGGGUGAGUCGACCCCUAAGGCGAGGCCGAAAGGCGUAGUCGAUGGGAAACAGGUUAAUAUUCCUGUACUUGGUGUUACUGCGAAGGGGGGACGGAGAAGGCUAUGUUGGCCGGGCGACGGUUGUCCCGGUUUAAGCGUGUAGGCUGGUUUUCCAGGCAAAUCCGGAAAAUCAAGGCUGAGGCGUGAUGACGAGGCACUACGGUGCUGAAGCAACAAAUGCCCUGCUUCCAGGAAAAGCCUCUAAGCAUCAGGUAACAUCAAAUCGUACCCCAAACCGACACAGGUGGUCAGGUAGAGAAUACCAAGGCGCUUGAGAGAACUCGGGUGAAGGAACUAGGCAAAAUGGUGCCGUAACUUCGGGAGAAGGCACGCUGAUAUGUAGGUGAAGUCCCUCGCGGAUGGAGCUGAAAUCAGUCGAAGAUACCAGCUGGCUGCAACUGUUUAUUAAAAACACAGCACUGUGCAAACACGAAAGUGGACGUAUACGGUGUGACGCCUGCCCGGUGCCGGAAGGUUAAUUGAUGGGGUUAGCCGCAAGGCGAAGCUCUUGAUCGAAGCCCCGGUAAACGGCGGCCGUAACUAUAACGGUCCUAAGGUAGCGAAAUUCCUUGUCGGGUAAGUUCCGACCUGCACGAAUGGCGUAAUGAUGGCCAGGCUGUCUCCACCCGAGACUCAGUGAAAUUGAACUCGCUGUGAAGAUGCAGUGUACCCGCGGCAAGACGGAAAGACCCCGUGAACCUUUACUAUAGCUUGACACUGAACAUUGAGCCUUGAUGUGUAGGAUAGGUGGGAGGCUUUGAAGUGUGGACGCCAGUCUGCAUGGAGCCGACCUUGAAAUACCACCCUUUAAUGUUUGAUGUUCUAACGUUGACCCGUAAUCCGGGUUGCGGACAGUGUCUGGUGGGUAGUUUGACUGGGGCGGUCUCCUCCUAAAGAGUAACGGAGGAGCACGAAGGUUGGCUAAUCCUGGUCGGACAUCAGGAGGUUAGUGCAAUGGCAUAAGCCAGCUUGACUGCGAGCGUGACGGCGCGAGCAGGUGCGAAAGCAGGUCAUAGUGAUCCGGUGGUUCUGAAUGGAAGGGCCAUCGCUCAACGGAUAAAAGGUACUCCGGGGAUAACAGGCUGAUACCGCCCAAGAGUUCAUAUCGACGGCGGUGUUUGGCACCUCGAUGUCGGCUCAUCACAUCCUGGGGCUGAAGUAGGUCCCAAGGGUAUGGCUGUUCGCCAUUUAAAGUGGUACGCGAGCUGGGUUUAGAACGUCGUGAGACAGUUCGGUCCCUAUCUGCCGUGGGCGCUGGAGAACUGAGGGGGGCUGCUCCUAGUACGAGAGGACCGGAGUGGACGCAUCACUGGUGUUCGGGUUGUCAUGCCAAUGGCACUGCCCGGUAGCUAAAUGCGGAAGAGAUAAGUGCUGAAAGCAUCUAAGCACGAAACUUGCCCCGAGAUGAGUUCUCCCUGACUCCUUGAGAGUCCUGAAGGAACGUUGAAGACGACGACGUUGAUAGGCCGGGUGUGUAAGCGCAGCGAUGCGUUGAGCUAACCGGUACUAAUGAACCGUGAGGCUUAACCUUACAACGCCGAAGGUGUUU